rnacentral:rRNA from 1 species
CCUACGGGAGGCAGCAGUAGGGAAUAUUGCGCAAUGGGCGAAAGCCUGACGCAGCAACGCCGCGUGAUCGAGACGCCCUUCGGGGUGUAAAGAUCUGUCAGUGGGGACGAAACAUGACGGUACCCACAGAGGAAGCACCGGUUAACGCCGUGCCAGCAGCCGCGGUAAUACGGGGGGUGCCAGCGUUGUCCGGAAUCAUUGGGCGUAAGGAGUUCGUAGGCGGCACGUAAAGUCUGGUGUUAAAGGCAGGGGCCUAACUUCUGUCGGGCACUGGAUACUUGCGAGCUAGAAUGCGGUAGAGGUAAAGGGAAUUCCUGGUGUAGCGGUGAAAUGCUUAGAUAUCAGGAGGAACACCGGUGGCGUAGGCGCUGUACUGGGCCGUAAUUGACGCUGAGGAACGAAAGCCAGGGUAGCAAAUGGGAUUAGAUACCCUGGUAGUC